rnacentral:rRNA from 1 species
GACGAACGCUAGCGGCGUGCCUAAGCUAUGCAAGUCGAGCGGGGUUUCAGAGUCGAGUUUCCUUCGGGAGACAAAGCACUGAAACCUAGCGGCGAACGGGUGAGUAACACGUGAGCAACCUACCCUGUUGUCCGGGAUAACAGACCGAAAGGCCUGCUAAUACCGGAUACGAAGCUCCUUCGCAUGUUGGAGCUUGGAAAGGGGCAACCCGCAAUGGGAGGGGCUUACGGCCUAUCAGCUAGUUGGUGAGGUAACGGCCCACCAAGGCGACGACGGGUAGCCGACCUGAGAGGGUGACCGGCCACACUGGGACUGAGACACGGCCCAGACUCCUACGGGAGGCAGCAAGCGGGAAUCUUGCACAAUGGGCGCAAGCCUGAUGCAGCGACGCCGCGUGAGGGAUGAAGGCCUUCGGGUCGUAAACCUCUGUUGACGGGGACGAAGAUCUGACGGUACCCAUCGA